rnacentral:lncRNA from 1 species
GAGAAUGACAACACAAACUUUUCUUUUGGUUGGGAGAAUGAAUUUUUGAUUUGUGUGGUAGAGGGGCUAGGAUAAUGACUUUGAAAAUUAAGUGAUUUUAUAAGCUGUGAUAUGAAAAGAAAAUGGAAGAAUGACAAAACAAAUUUUUUAUUGGGAGAAUAAAUUGUUAAAUUGUGUGGUAGAGAGGUUAAGAAAAUUACAAAUUUAUCCUUAUUUAUUUUGGUGGGAAAAUUGACUUGAGCAGUAAGGCUACAAUCCACCCUGAGCUUUGUCAAUAGGCGGGAAAUAAGUAGGGUAGAAUCGCCAAGACUUAAAGUGAUUUUAGUAAGUCAUCGAUUUCGAGGGGGGGGGGGGGGUUGGGCAGCUGAACUGGUUUGUUGAGCUAAGGUUGAAUGAGUCAAAGGACUGAGGUUCGAACCUGAGAGGAGAAAAUGCUAAUAUACUAACAACUAAUUAAUAACAUUUGCCAAUAAAAAAAAUAAAUCAUUGAUUUCUGUGGCAGAGAGGUUAGGAGAAUUAUAGAUUUAUCUAUAUGCGUUCCGACAGAAAAAUUGAUUUGAAGACUUGUGAUUUUAUAUAUAUUAAGAUAAGAUAU